rnacentral:rRNA from 1 species
GACGAACGCUGGCGGCGUGCUUAACACAUGCAAGUCGAACGGAAAGGCCCUGCUUUUGUGGGGUGCUCGAGUGGCGAACGGGUGAGUAACACGUAAGUAACCUGCCCUUGACUUUGGGAUAACUUCAGGAAACUGGGGCUAAUACCGGAUAGGAGCUCCUGCUGCAUGGUGGGGGUUGGAAAGUUUCGGCGGUUGGGGAUGGACUCGCGGCUUAUCAGCUUGUUGGUGGGGUAGUGGCUUACCAAGGCUUUGACGGGUAGCCGGCCUGAGAGGGUGACCGGCCACAUUGGGACUGAGAUACGGCCCAGACUCCUACGGGAGGCAGCAGUGGGGAAUAUUGCACAAUGGGCGGAAGCCUGAUGCAGCAACGCCGCGUGCGGGAUGACGGCCUUCGGGGUGUAAACCGCUUUCGCCUGUGACGAAGCGUGAGUGACGGUAAUGGGUAAAGAAGCACCGGCUAACUACGUG